UACGUAGGAGGCAAGCGUUGUCCGGAAUUACUGGGCGUAAAGCGUGCGUAGACGGUCAUGUAAGUCGGGUGUGAAAGCCCCGGGCUCAACCCGGGAAUUGCAUUCGAGACUGCAUGGCUAGGGUGCGGAAGAGGGAAGCGGAAUUUCCGGUGUAGCGGUGAAAUGCGCAGAUAUCAGGAGGAACACCGGUGGCGAAGGCGGGACUCUGGGCCGAUACUGACGCUGAGGAGCGAAAGCGUGGGGAGCGAACAGG
rnacentral:rRNA from 1 species